rnacentral:rRNA from 1 species
AUUGAACGCUGGCGGCAUGCCUUACACAUGCAAGUCGAACGGUAACAGGUCUUCGGAUGCUGACGAGUGGCGAACGGGUGAGUAAUACAUCGGAACGUGCCUAGUAGUGGGGGAUAACUACUCGAAAGAGUGGCUAAUACCGCAUGAGAUCUACGGAUGAAAGCAGGGGAUCGCAAGACCUUGUGCUACUAGAGCGGCCGAUGGCAGAUUAGGUAGUUGGUGGGAUAAAAGCUUACCAAGACGACGAUCUGUAGCUGGUCUGAGAGGACGAUCAGCCGCACUAGGAGUGAGACACGGGCCAGACGCCAACGGGAGGAAGCAGUGGGGAAUUUUGGACGAGGGGCGCAAGCCUGAUCCAGCAAUGCCGCGUGCAGGAUGAAGGCCUUCGGGUUGUAACCUGCUUUUGUACGGAACGAAAAGCCCUGGGUUAAUACCCUGGGGUCAUGACGGUACCGUAAGAAUAAGCACCGGCUAACUACGUGCCAGCAGCCGCCGCGGUAA